GCCAGGUGUGGUGGCACAUACCUGUAAUCCCCACAUCUUGGGAGGCUGAGGCAGGAGGAUUACAAGUUUGAGGUCAGCCUCAGCAACUUAGUGAGACCUUGUCUCAA
rnacentral:sRNA from 1 species